rnacentral:tRNA from 1 species
GGAGGUGCAGCUCAGUGGUAGUAGAGCACAUGCUUAGCAUGCAUAAGGUUCUGGGUUCAAUCUCCACCACCCCA